rnacentral:lncRNA from 1 species
AUAUAUAUUUUGAGAGAUAGGUAGCACGCUACCCGCUUCAUUUAUUUCAUUUAGAAAUAAACUUAGCUAGAAACGUAAAUCAACUAGGAUUCGAACUUGGGUCUCGAGUACCAACCACCAAAUCCUUUGCCACUUGCUCUAGGGAUGGUCGGUAUAGCAUAUAUUUUUUACCGUUAUUUAUUUGUUAUUUCUCCGGUUAGUGUCUAUGAUAUGAUUUAUCUUAUCUAUACCAUAAUGCUUUUUAUAAUUGAUUAGCACUAUAC